AAUUAUCAAUUCUUCUAUAAAACAUUCCAUUGGGAAAAUCAACAUAUAUUUCUCAUCAUUACUGAAAUGUAUGAAAAUCUUUGCAAAGACAACCACAAAUUCUUAAGAGAUUCUUCUUGAAAGAGGUAACUAAUUCUUUGCUCUUCUGGUGAUGCCUUCACUGUCAAAUCAUGUUGGGUAAUACAGGCAAAUAUGUAAAGCAAAAAAACCCAUUUCAUCAGUCUAAAGAAGUCCAACAUUAAAAUACCUUUACAGAAGAACAAGAUAUAUAUAUAGAUGGAAAGAUAUAGACAGAUAUGCCAGUAAAAGCUUCCAACUAAUACAAAAUUUGAUAAUAAUACUAACAUCUUAAUUUAAAGCUCUGAAAAACGUAGUAAGCUUAGAGUAAUUUGGAUUAAAAGAAAUUUCAGCCCUGGCCAAGUAGCACAGUUGGUUAGAGCAUCGUCCCCAUACACCAAGAUUGCGGGUUUGAUCCCUGGUAGGAGACAUAUGAGAAUCAACCCAUGAAUACAUAAAUAAAUGCAGCCAAUCAAU